AUUAAACAAGUGAAUACUAAGAACUGGACCGAGAUCAAGAUGAAGAUGUUCAUGCUUCUGUUGGCCAUUGUUUAUGUGAGCUUGUCUACAAGUGUAAAAGGACAACCUUGGUCACCUGUCACAAUCAAAGGUC